CGGCCACGUAGGUCCGUCGGGAAAUCCACUCGCUCAACGAGUGGGCGUCCGGCGGAAACCACGUGGCUUGGGGCCGGAAGACCUGAGGGGUACGUCCGGGGUAGGAGUGAAAUCCUGUAAUCCUGGACGGACCGCCGGUGGCGAAAGCGCCUCAGGAAGACGGACCCGACGGUGAGGGACGAAAGCUAGGGUCUCGAACCGGAUUAGAUACCCGGGUAGUCCUAGCCGUAAACGAUGCUCACUAGGUGUGGCGCUGGCUACGAGCCAGCGCUGUGCCGUAGGGAAGCCGUGAAGUGAGCCGCCUGGGAA
rnacentral:rRNA from 1 species